ensembl:lncRNA
UGACCUUUGGUGUGGUUGUUGACCAUAUAUUGUUCUGCCUUAUAUGUGCAGAAGGGGCAGUGAUGAAGUUGACAGCUGCUGCAUUUUUUAAUUUUAGGACUCUCGCCCUCCAACAACACACUAACGUGUCUCUAUACAUCAAAGAAAAAUAAGCAUAGACAUAAAAAGGCAUGAAGGCAUGGACAUAGAGUGGCAUAAAAUAGGCAUUUCAUUUCAUUAUUGUAUAUACUAUGUGUAGGCUGUGUAGACUCGCUAUGUGUAUCUUAGGGAAUGGCCGUCGGCAUCAACGACACACAUUUAGAGCCAAACACAAUGAGGCAUACAUUGAAGAAACGCAGAAAAUCAAUGAUCAAAUCGAUUACAUAACUGUAAAUGUAAACCUAGGCUUACCGCUCAAGUAGGUACAUUUGUCCAAAUAAGAUUUCCUCAUUGUAAGCAAUUGCCUAAGGGUGCUAUUGCUAACGUUAAUUACCUAGCUCACGUGAAAAUGGGUGCUAAUUAACACUAUGCUAUCGGUGCGGUAGUUGGUUAAUUCCAAUAAUUGUUUUAAAUUACAGGAGACAGGAGGAGGUGUAUUAUAAAUUGUUCUCUUGGUUUUCAAACUUUAUUUUUGUUUCCAAUUAGUGCAAUCUAUUCCAAAUUGCCUUGCUAACUUCUGUCGCUAGCUACCAGCACGAGUGUGCAGUUUUCUCCGCCAGAAUGGUAGAAGGGCCAACGAUGCUGAAAAUGUUGUGGACUUUUGGUUAAAGAACCCAUUUCAUUCUUUGGGGUACAGGAAAAGGUGCAAAUUAAAAGCGAAGGUCGACCUCUGCCCGAGAUGAGUUUCAUGUCGAAGGAUGAAAAGUUUCCUGGCUCUGCGGACCCCUGGGAGAUUGAUCACAGCUCUAUAAGUCUGCAUUUCAAUUGGACUGGUGUGUAUUAUAUGCCUAUAGGGAACGCACUAUUCCCUUUGAGAUGGACAGCUCCUGAGGACAUCACCAGCAGAAAGUUCACCAUCAAGGGUGUGGUCCUUCAGCACCUUGCUGUAUGAGAUCGUGACCUAUGGGGAGAUGCCCUGUCCCAGUAAGAUUUGUAUAAUUAGGAUAUAUUAAUCUCCUUGGCAUUAAAGCUCACGGAGGGAAAAAUUGGACAAGAUGGUGCUGACUGAGAGGGGCAAAAUCAAAUGAUCUUUACUUCUAUUGUACAGAAAAUGUCAUUCUAUUAUCCCAUUUGACCCCAAGCACUUCUGGAUAUCAGAUAAACAGUUACUAACCACGAUUUCAACCUCAAAUAAGACUUCAACUCAGCUGUUGCCCGGUCCCUAUUCCUUUGUUCCAUUAGCUACCAAAAACCUGCAGGCAUAUAGACGCAUUAGACGAGCUGCAGCCCUGGUGAAAAUGAGCGAUGAGAAAACCGAACGGCGCUCCCCUCCUUUCUGUUGGCAAAUGUCCAGUCACUUUAGAAUAAGAUGCGCUUCGUUUGAGAGUCACAUGUCUUACAGAUACGUGGCUAGAUGAUGACACUAUACACAGAGUAAUUUGUGGAUUCUUCAUCUAGUGGCAAGAUCGGACGAAGGUUUUGGGAAAGUCUAAAGAAGGAGGGGGUUUCAUAAAUAACAACAGGUGUGCUGCUUCCAGUGUGAAGGAAAUCUAUAACUUUUGCUCACCUGUUAUAGAAUACCUCAUGGUAAGUUAAGCUGCAGACUCUUUCAUCUACCAAGAGAGUUAUCCGUAAUUAUCACGGCUGUCUACAAGACAACAAAACUCUGGCACUCAACAAACUGUAUGGGGCCAUAAACAAACAAGAAACUGCUCACCCAGUGGCAGUGUUUCUGGCGGGCGGAGACUAACUUGAGGAGAUUAAAACCGUCCUCCCUCACUUCUACCAACACAUCACCUGCUCCACUAGGGGACCUAAAACUCUAGACCACUUUUAUUCUACCCACAGAAACUCAUACAACGCCCUCCCUUGUCCUCCCUUCUGCAAUUCUGACCACAACUCCAUUCUCCUGCUUCCUGUUUACAAAACAAAGCUCAAACAGGAAGUACCAGUGAUGCGUUCAAUACGGAAGUGUUCGGAUGACACGAGGUUACAAGACUGUUUUGCUAGUACAGACUGGAAUAUGUUACAGGAUUCAUCCGAUAGCAUUGAGGAGUUUACCACAACAGUCGCAAGGUUCAUCAAUAAGGGCACAGACAAUGUCAUCUCCACAGUGACUAUACGAACGUAUCCAAACCAAAAACCAUCGAUUACAGGCAAUAUCCGUUCUGGGCUAAAGGCUAGAGCUACCGCUUGCUUACAAGGAAUGGGACAUGGACAUGGACGCAUGCAAGAAAGCCUGCUACGACCUCAGACUAGACAUCAAACAUGCAAAAGGAUACUAUAGUAGGAAGGUGGAAUCCUAUUACACCGGCUUCGAUGCUCGUCGUAUGUGGUAGGGCCUGCAGACGAUAAUGAAUUACAAAGGGAAACCCAGCCGUGAGUAACCCAGUAAUGCAGAACUCCCAAUCCAGCUGAAAGCUUUUUAUUCUCGCUUCGAGGAAUAGAACACUGUGUCUAGCGUGAAAGACCCUGUUUUUCUGGAGGACUGUGUGAUCUCUCUCUCCGUGGCCGAUGUGAGCAAAACGUUUAAACAGGUUAACAAUCACACAAACGGAAUACCAGGGUGCAUUCUCAAAGCAUGAGCAGACCAGAGCUCCAAGGUAACCUGCCUAAAUGACUUUCGCCCUGUAGCACGCACAUCUGUAGGUGCUUUGAAAGGCUGGUCAUGACACACAUCAACAUAAUCAUCCCAGACACUAUGGGCCCACUUCAAUUCUCAUAAUGCCCCAACAGAUCCACAGAUGACGCAAUCUCAAUUGCACUUUACACUGCCCUCUCUCACCUGGACAAGAGGGGAAAUAACUAUGUGAGAGUGCUGUUCAUAGACUACAGCUCAGCAUUCAACACCAUAGUCCCCUCCAAGCUCAUCACCAAGCUAGAGACCUUGGAAUUGAACACCUUCCUCUGCAACUGGAUCUUGGACUUCCUGACGGGCCGGCCCCAGGUGGUGAGGAUAGGCAACAACAUCUCGCCACGCUGACCCUCAGCACGGGGCCCCUCAGGGGUGUGUGCUUAGUCCCCUCCUGUACUCCCUGAGAGAGCUUCAAGUUCCUUGACGUCCACAUCACUAAGGACUUAGCAUGGCCCACACACACCAGCACAGUCGUGAAGAGGGCACAGCAGCACCUAUUCCUCCUCAGGAGGCUAAAACGAUUUGGCAUGGACCCUCAGAUCGUUAGAAAUUUCUACAGCUGCACCAUCGAGAGCACCUUGACUGGCUGAUUCGUAUGGGAAAUGCAACGCCCCCGACCGCAAAGCACUACAGAAAGUGGUAUAUCCCUGCCAUCCAGGACCUCUAUAUUAGGCGGUGUCAGGGGAAGGCCCGAAAGCCAUAGACUGUUCACUCUGCUACUGUCUGGCAAAUGGUACGGAAGCAUUGGCUCUCGGACCAACAGGCUCUGAGACAUUUUUUACCCCAAUGCCAUAAGACUGCUAAAUGCCAGAAGACUGUGAAAUAGUCAAUUAAUGGUUACCCGAACUAUCUAUCCUGAUUCCUAUCUUGCACUGACCCUACGCACACUCACUAGACUAUAUAUACACACUAUAUACACACUCACUCACACAAAACUACAUUGAUACUCCCACACAAAACCCAUAGACAUACGUGGAUGUCGAUUAAGGCAACCCCCCGCACCUCUCUGGUUAAAUGCAGAAGACACAUUUCGGUUGAAGGCAUUCAGUUGUACAACUGACUAGGUAUCCUCGUUUCCCUUUCAUACGCCAGAGGAGGACGGGCUCAUUGUAAUGGCUGGAUUGGAAUAAAUGGAACGGAGUCAAACGUGGUUUCCUUAUGUUUGAUGUGUUUGAUACUGUUCCAUUUAUUCCCUUCCUGCCUUUACAACGAGCCCGUCCUCCUAUAGCUCCCCCCACCAGCCUCCACUGACAUACGCACACACAUAUACAUAGCACACGCAUACCGACACAACACAAACAUUUGCGGCUGCUAUUCUUUAUUUUACACUCUUUUUUACACUUAUUAUCUAUCCUGAUUCCUAGUCACUUUACCUUGCAUUCAUGUACAUACUGUAUCUACCUCAAACACCUCGUACCUCUGCACAUUGAUCUGAUACUGUUACUCCCUGUAUGUAGCUCUACAUUGAUCUGGUACUGGUACUCCCUGUAUAUACAGUAGCUCCAUUCUUGUGUAUUAUAUUUUAUUCCUCUUGUGUUACUAUUUUUUCUGUGUAUUAUAAUUUUUAAACUCUGCAUCGUUGGGAAGGCCUCGUAAGCAAGCAUUUCAUGGUAAAGUCUACACCGGUUGUAUUCGGCGCAUGUGACAAAUACAAUUUGAUUUGACACUAACUUCUGACAUCUACCCCAUUGUUAUUGAGUGAGCAAUGCUAUCAAUGCAUGAUUAGCACAAAUGUAGAGUUCUUCUGCUUUCCAGUGCCAUUUUGAGAGUAUAUAUUGGACUGCUGGAAGGAGAAUAAAAAUGACAGGAGCACUUUCGAGGCUCUGAAAACGAGGCUGAGGAACGUUAGCG